UAUAUAUAGGGGGGUGGUGAGAGCUGGAAGCCAAGAUGCAUGGAUAUGAGGUAGCCUUUGAUCAUGAAUGUCGCUAUAGUCUGAAUGACGCUGAUGUCCCCAGUUCGACGCCCAAUGAGUCGUUUUCUUCGUUAUGGCUUUUGCCAUUUCGUGUACGGCGACAACGUCAUUGACGCUUUCUUGGNUAUCCUUGUCCGAAGCGUGGCUCGUUGUCCACGGUGGUGGUGGGACUUGCUUUGCCUACGACAUAGUGAUCAUUUGUGUGGAAAUGACGGCGACCCUUUACGAUGAAACCUGUGGCGUUGUGGGCCUCGCAACGCCAUUGCUACGUGCUUGCCGGACGAUCCUAGAACGAAGCGAUUCAUGUCACACCAGCGCGGUUGGUGUCUUGUUUUGAGUAGUUUUUUANGUGACGGUGAGCAUGAUGAGGCACGUANGAAUUGUUGUCCAGGUCGAAGCCUUUGCCUCCCUGGGUAAACUAAAACAACGUCAAGGAUGGGUGUUGCUUGUCGAUCCGAUUUUGAUGCAUGGCAUGUUUCCCAUGGCGGUUUUGGGGCUUGUCAUUCCAUGGAUCCGAGCAUGCCGAAACUGACGGGGACUCAUUUCGAUGAAAAUUGUGGCGUUGUGGACCUUGCAUUGCCAUUGCUACGUGCUUCUUCGGUGAUCCUUGAACGAAGCGUUACGUGUCACGCAAGCAUUGCUAGUGACUUGUUUUGCCAAGGUCAUGGUGACCCGGGUAGCAUGAUGAGCCAUGUCGGUAUCGUUUGUUGUUAUUUUAUUCGCAUCGUUCGGUGCAUCUUGGGAGCUGUUCGGACUUUUGGUUGCUUGCUUGGCUCGAAUGCCUAGUAGGUGGCGGAUUGUUUGGCGGUUUUCGGGGAUGACUUCCGUAAGGGUGCAUGAGUGGUUUUUGGUUUGUUACCGGUGGUUGGCUCUCUGCUUUUGCAACAACUCCCACCUGGCAUUCCUCUUCAUGUUUGCGUCAAGGUUUAUAUUCUUUGAGCGCUUAUGGUUUCCUGUGUUGCCUACCUACGUGACGGUAUCGCUUGAUUACAUCGAAGUAGUGUUUCAUCAUGUGUCAUUUAUAUGGCGUAGGAUGAACUUCGAAGCAGCUUCUAUGAUCCACCUUGUUGAUGCAAAUGUAUCAAUGUUGUGGCUCAUUGAGUUUCGCUUGGUUUUCUGGAUACAGAACAUAAUAUGGGUGUGGGUCUUGAGAUCCUUGUUUUGCCCUUUCUGAANGUUGUUAUUACUCAGAGAUGACCACCUAUCCCGAAUUUGGCUUGUACCACCGGGGUAGGUUAAGCUGUUGAAGAGCAAUAAUGGCGUUCUUGCUUCUCUAAAACAGACGGCCUUGCCUGUGUUGGCUCGUACCAACGGGUGGGCUUAUGUCGAAGAGGG
rnacentral:misc_RNA from 1 species